CAAUAAAGAGGCCAAUAGCCCAAAAAAAGAGGCAAAGAAAAGAGACAAAGGCCCAAGGAUUCCUAGGAUGUAAACAGCUCGACAACUGAAGUCAAAAGCUAAAAAGCUGUGAGGUAUACUAAAAAUAUAAAAAAAAUUUUUAAAAAUAAAAAAAACUCACACAAAGUACAACGGACACAGUAACACAACAAGAUUUAUAUUGACUUCUUUAAUUUCCUUUUCAUUUCUUGAACCCAUUAUAAAAAAGUGCAAUACACAGUUAAAUACAUUUUAAAAAAAAGGAAUCUCCCAGAACUAUAUGUCAAUAACAAACACACCCAAAAAUCAUCUAUAGUCUGUUUUAAGGCAGGCCUGUCCCUAUGAUAUGGUCUAUCACUUCUGAAGAAAUUCUGCUAACAAAUUUUUCAUAAGUUUAUGAAUGAAUAGUGUAUCGUAAUUAUAAUGUGUCUAUUUGACCAGUUUCUUAAAGUAAUUGAAUGUAAAUUGUUAGCUAAAUGUUGACUUCUUAAUGGAGUGACUAAGUGUAAUAAAAUUUAAUGACAUUGAAAUAUAAUUCUAUAACACUUUUAUGAAAUUUGAAAGAGUUAAGAAACAAACAUGCUUAUGAAAUGCAUCAUGACAUGUUGAUAAUAUUUAUAUGACAAAGGGAUACUCCUCUUCUACUAAUCAAUAAGGCUGAUAAUUAAGUUAUUACAUCUGAAAUUAUCAAAGCAUAUUUUAAGAUCAAUCUGAUAGACCCAAGUGAUUAUUAAAAAUCGCCCCAAAAGAUUUAAAAGAAAAAAAAAACUAGUUUAAUCAGCGCUGCCUCUACACAUAAAAUAAUAAAAAUUGUCUACACUUAGUGAUAAAAAUAUUUUUUUUAGUAGUUAAGGCCCUUGAAUGGCUAUUUUUUUUUAAAUGUCAUCAGCAACGACUGAGAAGCAAGGUGAAACAAUGCCAUUCCUCCAGUAAUUAUCUAACUCAAAAACAAGCCUUACAAAGACAUAGAGAUAGAGAUAGAUGGAAAAACUAGUCCAAACAAAAAGAUUUUGAGUUUUAUUAAGACUCAUGUUUUGCUGUAGCGUGACACAAUUACACACAGGAUGAUAUACAGCACAACUAGGAGAGUGGUGGGUGCCCAGCUUGACAAGGUCAUAGAAGCAAGAACUAAUUCAAGUUUUUGCUUCCAUAAAAUUCUAGGUCAGUGCAACAUUUCAGGUCAAUGAUUAAGUUAUUAUGUACAUUAUAUACAAUACAUGGUAAAUGGAUAUAAAGUUCAAAUGUGGGAUCAUUCAAAUGACUUUGGGAGUAAAACUUAUCACAUGAUAAAAGAUAAAAAUAUGAACAUAUUAUUCCAACUAACUAUAUCUAUAUAUAUAUAUAUAUAUAUAUAU